rnacentral:rRNA from 1 species
AGUGAACGCUGGCGGCAGGCCUAACACAUGCAAGUCGAGCGGCAGCGGGUUCCCGCGAGGGGAUGCCGGCGAGCGGCGGACGGGUGAGGAACACAUCGGAAUCUGCCUGGUUGUGGGGGAUAACGUAGGGAAACUUACGCUAAUACCGCAUGAGACCCUGAGUCGACGGACUGGGGGUGAAAGUGAGGGACCUUCGGGCCUCACGCGACCAGAUGAGCCGAUGUCGGAUUAGCUAGUUGGCGGGGUAACGGCCCGCCAAGGCGACGAUCCGUAGCUGGUCUGAGAGGAUGAUCAGCCACACUGGGACUGAGACACGGCCCAGACUCCUACGGGGGGCAGCAGUGGGGAAUCUUGCGCAAUGGGCGAAAGCCUGACGCAGCGACGCCGCGUGAGGGAU